AUACCCAAUCUGCAUUUGUUAUUUUAGAAAUGAGAAAUGGUGAGAUUGUAGUAAUCAGUUCACCUGAGCUGAACAAAACACCUGAGCCAGGCAAACAAGGAGAACAUAGUGAGGAUUUCAUUAUUAAAGAAAGUGAGAAGUAUUUAUCUGAUUUAUCUCAGAUUUAUUUAUACUCAGUAAAUAGUCCUUGUUUAGGGAGAGAAAAGAGUCUGAUCCCUGUAUGUUAAGGUUAAUCACUUUUUCAGAAAAAUCAUAAUAUUGAUAUCAAUAUUGGCUUCUCAAGAUAUUAUGUCUUUAUCAGAAGCAUGCAUGUUUUAUUAAAGGACAGAAAAUAUCCUGGAAUCCUGAAAUGAAUAUAUAGUACAUGGUGAUAUAAAACAAUACAUAUAUACAUUAAUUCCGGAAAAAGAUAACGGUUCAGUAAUUGAUUAAAAAUCUUGAUAAAAAACAGACAUAUAAGCAGUGGAUCGAGACAGGAAAGAAAAUAUUAAAAGAGCUGGAAAAUUCAGCAUUAAAAAGCUGAAAGAUCUGAAUUUUAAUCAGUUGUGGAUUAAAAGAGUAGAUGAUGAUUUCAAUAGACAUGUAGUUCCACCCAUCUUAAAACAGAUCCAGGAUAUUCGUCCCAAAGUGAACCUUUUCCAGGUUGAUUUGGAAGAAAUGAAAUGUGCGAUUUCUUCUAAUAAGCAAGGCUCGAAUGCGCUUCAUUCGGCUAAUGAGGAAUAAUUGGAAUUGGAAUAAAUGAUGCUGAUUGCCACACUUUGUGAUUUGUUUGAUUUUUCUUUAAUAUUUACCACACGGUGCACUGUUUCCUAACACAAACACACACACACACACACUUAUUAUUUCAUCCAUUAGUAAUAUCUUCAUUAUUAUUACAUCAUGUAAAGUGUUUCACACCACAGAGCGGUUAAAUGCUUGAAUCUGAUUGGUCAGAUAUUUUCAGUAUAACAGUGCGGGUAAUUCCGGCUGUAACAUGAUCGACAGGUUUAUAUUAACGCUCUCGUUCUAAUACUGUACGUUAUCGUUUCUAUAGCAACGUUUCCUCUUCACAGAGCGAUAAAGGAGGUGUGAAUGCACGUACGGCUCAAAGCCACAGAAGGUGUUUAAAAGGUGAUCUUCUUGAAAGCGUCUCUGGGACGUUACCUGUGGAUGACGAAACACAGCUGUGUUCCAGAUGUUUAUAUAAUACAGUGUAGAAUAGCGUAUUUACUCAGCCAUGCAGCUGAAAUAUGACACAGAAUAUUAGACUGUUCUUUUUAGAGCCAUGUGAAUAAAUUAAUAUGUCACAAAUCUACUCUUUUUAUGAUAUUAUAAGAUAUACAGCGCCCUAUAUUAAUAUUGGCACCCUUGGUACAUAUGAGCAAGGAAGGCUGUGAAGAAUCUUCUUUAUUGUUUUAACUUUUAAUCAUUUGCGCAAAUAAUCCACAAAAAGACUCUGCUCUCAUAGAUAACAAACAAUUACAAACACAACACAGGUUUAUCAACAAAAAAACUGUUAAAUAUAGGUGUGCAACAAUUAUUGGCACCCCAUGAAUUCAUAUCAGAAAAAUAUAUUUGAAGUAUAUUUGAAAAUAAUUUUAGUACACCUGGGUGACUAGGAACAGGAAGUAGUUCAAAUAUGAGGUAACACACAUGCCAAAUCCCCUUAGUCAUUCAUACCGAUGGGUUAGAACAAGCAAAAAGUUGUUGAGCUUCACACAAUGGGGCGUGUCUAUAAGAAAAUAGCACGAGCAUUGAAAACGCCCGUUUCACCAUCAGGGCAAUAAUUAAGAAGUUCCAGUCGACUGGAAAUGUUAUGAAUCGACCUGGAAUUGGACGCGUGUCUGUAUCGUCUCAACGCACUGUGAAGAGGACGGUUCGAGUGGAUAAAACAUCUCCAAGGAUCACAGCUGGAGAACUGCAGAAGUUAGUUGUGUCUUGGGGUCAGAAAGUCUCCAAAACUACAAUCUGAAGUCACCGACAUCACCACAAGCUGUUUGGAAGGGUUUGAAGAAAAAAGCCUCUCCUCUCAUCCAAAAACACACUCGAGCGUCUUCAGUGUGCAGACAGUACUGGAACUUCAAAUGGGAUCGGGUUCUACGGUCAGAUGAAACCAGAAUAGAGCUUUUUGGUAAUAAACACAGAGAGGUAGCCGUAUGGAAAAGUACCUCAUGCCCACGGUUAAAUAUGGAGGAGGAUCUUUAAUGUUUUGGGCUGUUUUUCUGCCAGAGGACCUGGACAUUUUGUUAGGAUACACGGCAUCAUGGACUCUCAAAUAUCAACAGAUAUUAAAUGAAAACCUGACUGCCUCUGCCAGAAAGAUUCAAAUGGGCCAUGGUUGGAUCUUCCAGCAGGACAAUGAUCCAAAACAUCAUCAACAUCAACACAGAAAACGCUUUACUGACCACAAAAUCAGGGUCCUGCCCUGACCAUCCCAGUCCCCUGACCUGAACCCCAUAGAAAACCUGUGGGGUGAACUGAAAGAGGAGAGUCCACCAGCGUGGACCUGAAAUGUGAAGGAUCUGGAGAGGUUCUGUAUGGAGGAACACUCUCAGAUCCCUCACCGUGUAUUCUCCAACCUCAUCAGGCGUUAUUGGAGAAGACUCAGAGCUGUUAUCUUGACAAAGGGAGCUAGCACAAAGUAUUGACUAAAUUGAUCAUUGUUGCACAUCUAUAUUUAACAGUUGUUGUUUUUUUGUUGAUAAACCUGAGUUGUGUUUGUAAUUGUUUGAUAUCCAUGAGAGCAGAGUAUUUUUGUGAAUUUUUUUUAACAAAACAUCAAAAGGUUAAACAAUAAAGACAAUUUUUCACAGCCAUCUUUGCUCAUAUUUACCAGGGGUGCCAAUAUUAAUGGAGGGCACCGUAUAUGGACAAGCAAACACUUGAUCCUCUUUGAAUCUGUGCUUAUUAAUAAAGAUGAUACACUCAAAUGACACAUAAGAUUGACAUUAUGUAGUAAUUUUCACAAUUUAAAGUCACAUGGAAAAAAAGUAAGUACACCCCUACAUUUAUCACACCUUCAAAUCCAUAUAAUUAGACUCAGGUGCUGAAGAUCGGGUGCCUGCUUAGUGAUUAGAACCUGCCUCUGGAGCGCAGGUCUUAUUUAUACCCCUCUCAUAUCUACUGUCUGGUGUUCCCUUUGCUUUUGAGGUGUGUGAUGUCAUCAUUAAGAGACCACAUGUUCACCAGCAGUCGCUUUCUAACCGUGACAUCAUCUGAUAGAACCAUCACACACACGAGGUUUCCUCUGGGUUCUCCGGUUUCCUUCACCUCCUAAAAACAGGAUCUUUACAGGAUAUUCUCCGCGACUCUGUCCAGGAUACAGGAACAUGGACCUAAAGCACAAAAGACGAGCAUUGCAUUGAAAAGUGACGAGUGAACUGACCUGACUCGAAUCAGCACAGAUCCACAUGAAUAAAACAUCAUGUGGAGAUGAUUAUUUACAAAAGGAAACAAACUGAAAGACAGAACGGAUGUGUUUAGGUAAUAUACUGUAUAGUGUUCAUGUGGGACUGAGUGAUGUACUCAUUUCAAAUAUCUCAGGCUUUGUAUCAUCAAU
ensembl:lncRNA